rnacentral:rRNA from 1 species
UUUCGUGCCGUUCCGACCUCGUUUGAUACGGUUAUGGUUAACCACACGGCCCCUCGGGCCCGACCCGAGCCCAGUCAACGUUUUGACCCGAUCAAAUCGGCCCGUGACCCGAAACGACCCUACUUGGGCCCUACAACAGCCACGUAAAGUUUCGGGAUGAUCCGACGUUCUUUCAUGGGGUUACGGACAAUCCACGCCAAACAAGCGUCACGGGCCGACCGAGCCGGGCCAACGGGCCCUCGGGACCCGAAAACUGAAUUUUUUUUCAUCCAAACCCAUUAAAACACGUUACCGAGGUCUCACGCAAAAUUUCAUGCCAAUCCGACGUCGUUUGAUGGGGUUUUGAAAAAUUAUGAUUCCUCAAAAAUUUAAUGUCUGUUCCUGUCACUUAGCUUUUUGUGCAAAAUGUAUAUAUAGGGGAGGGGUGGGUGUUGAGCAGCCCAUGCCCGGGCAAGGCAUGCCAGCGCCCAAGCCAAAGGAGGCUGGUGGCGUGCGUAUAACAGCUCAAAUGCCCCAACGAUGACCGAGAACAAGCGCCCAUCUCCCCUCCUUCCCCCCCACCAAGCGCCCCUCCCCCCCCAUGUUGCCUGCCCACUCGCACAGCUACUCGUGAUUUCAUGCCCAGCGACUAGAGAAUGUGCCUCGACGACCAGCAAACCUCGAAAAUUAUGAUUCCUCGUAAAAUUAAUGUCUGUUCCUGUCACUUUACUUUUUGUGCAAAAUGUAUAUAUAGGGGAGACCAGGGGCUUGAGCAACCCCUGUGCCCAAGCAAGGGUCAGAUGGAAGCACACGAGACGCGAGGUUUAAAGCCUAUACAAGCAAGGCGUCUGUCUCCCCAAGCCCCAUUGCCUAUAAAACAAGCCCGAUGCCUUGUAAAUGCCCCACACGAUGCCUAUAAACGACAACGAUGUUUGCUAGUUAAUCGAUCGACGCCCCACACCUUGCAGCAUGUUGCCUAGUAAACAAGCCAUGCUGCCUUGGAAGCGCCCCACAUCAUGGCAUGUUGCCUAGCACGCUGCCCUUGUUUCCCGCACGGCGACCUGAAAGCGUGGCCUGACGACGUGCUUGCCUUCGAAAAUUAUGAUUCCUCAAAAAAUUAAUGUCUGUUCCUGUCACUUUACUUUUUGU